AGAGUUUGAUCCUGGCUCAGGACGAACGCUGGCGGCGUGCCUAAUACAUGCAAGUCGAACGAACUCUGGUAUCGAUUGGUGCUUGCAUCAUGAUUUACAUUUGAGUGAGUGGCGAACUGGUGAGUAACACGUGGGAAACCUGCCCAGAAGCGGGGGAUAACACCUGGAAACAGAUGCUAAUACCGCAUAACAACUUGGACCGCAUGGUCCGAGUUUGAAAGAUGGCUUCGGCUAUCACUUUUGGAUGGUCCCGCGGCGUAUUAGCUAGAUGGUGAGGUAACGGCUCACCAUGGCAAUGAUACGUAGCCGACCUGAGAGGGUAAUCGGCCACAUUGGGACUGAGACACGGCCCAAACUCCUACGGGAGGCAGCAGUAGGGAAUCUUCCACAAUGGACGAAAGUCUGAUGGAGCAACGCCGCGUGAGUGAAGAAGGGUUUCGGCUCGUAAAACUCUGUUGUUAAAGAAGAACAUAUCUGAGAGUAACUGUUCAGGUAUUGACGGUAUUUAACCAGAAAGCCACGGCUAACUACGUGCCAGCAGCCGCGGUAAUACGUAGGUGGCAAGCGUUGUCCGGAUUUAUUGGGCGUAAAGCGAGCGCAGGCGGUUUUUUAAGUCUGAUGUGAAAGCCUUCGGCUCAACCGAAGAAGUGCAUCGGAAACUGGGAAACUUGAGUGCAGAAGAGGACAGUGGAACUCCAUGUGUAGCGGUGAAAUGCGUAGAUAUAUGGAAGAACACCAGUGGCGAAGGCGGCUGUCUGGUCUGUAACUGACGCUGAGGCUCGAAAGUAUGGGUAGCAAACAGGAUUAGAUACCCUGGUAGUCCAUACCGUAAACGAUGAAUGCUAAGUGUUGGAGGGUUUCCGCCCUUCAGUGCUGCAGCUAACGCAUUAAGCAUUCCGCCUGGGGAGUACGGCCGCAAGGCUGAAACUCAAAGGAAUUGACGGGGGCCCGCACAAGCGGUGGAGCAUGUGGUUUAAUUCGAAGCUACGCGAAGAACCUUACCAGGUCUUGACAUACUAUGCAAAUCUAAGAGAUUAGACGUUCCCUUCGGGGACAUGGAUACAGGUGGUGCAUGGUUGUCGUCAGCUCGUGUCGUGAGAUGUUGGGUUAAGUCCCGCAACGAGCGCAACCCUUAUUAUCAGUUGCCAGCAUUAAGUUGGGCACUCUGGUGAGACUGCCGGUGACAAACCGGAGGAAGGUGGGGAUGACGUCAAAUCAUCAUGCCCCUUAUGACCUGGGCUACACACGUGCUACAAUGGAUGGUACAACGAGUUGCGAACUCGCGAGAGUAAGCUAAUCUCUUAAAGCCAUUCUCAGUUCGGAUUGUAGGCUGCAACUCGCCUACAUGAAGUCGGAAUCGCUAGUAAUCGCGGAUCAGCAUGCCGCGGUGAAUACGUUCCCGGGCCUUGUACACACCGCCCGUCACACCAUGAGAGUUUGUAACACCCAAAGUCGGUGGGGUAACCUUUUAGGAACCAGCCGCCUAAGGUGGGACAGAUGAUUAGGGUGAAGUCGUAACAAGGUAGCCGUAGGAGAACCUGCGGCUGGAUCACCU
rnacentral:rRNA from 1 species